UGUUAAUACCACCUGGUGCUGACGGUACCUAAAGAAUAAGCACCGGCUAACUACGUGCCAGCAGCCGCGGUAAUACGUAGGGUGCGAGCGUUAAUCGGAAUUACUGGGCGUAAAGCGAGCGCAGACGGUUAAUUAAGUCAGAUGUGAAAUCCCCGAGCUCAACUUGGGACGUGCAUUUGAAACUGGUUAACUAGAGUGUGUCAGAGGGAGGUAGAAUUCCACGUGUAGCAGUGAAAUGCGUAGAGAUGUGGAGGAAUACCGAUGGCGAAGGCAGCCUCCUGGGAUAACACUGACGUUCAUGCUCGAAAGCGUGGGUAGCAAACAGGAUUAGAUACCCUGGUAGUCCACGCCCUAAACGAUGACAAUUAGCUGUUGGGACACUAGAUGUUUUAGUAGCGAAGCUAACGCGUGAAAUUGUCCGCCUGGGGAGUACGGUCGCAAGAUUAAAACUCAAAGGAAUUGACGGGGACCCGCACAAGCGGUGGAUGAUGUGGAUUAAUUCGAUGCAACGCGAAGAACCUUACCUGGUCUUGACAUGUACGGAAUCUCUUAGAGAUAGGAGAGUGCCUUCGGGAGCCGUAACACAGGUGCUGCAUGGCUGUCGUCAGCUCGUGUCGUGAGAUGUUGGGUUAAGUCCCGCAACGAGCGCAACCCUUGUCAUUAGUUGCCAUCAUUAAGUUGGGCACUCUAAUGAGACUGCCGGUGACAAACCGGAGGAAGGUGGGGAUGACGUCAAGUCCUCAUGGCCCUUAUGACCAGGGCUUCACACGUCAUACAAUGGUCGGUACAGAGGGUAGCGAAGCCGCGAGGUGAAGCCAAUCUCAGAAAGCCGAUCGUAGUCCGGAUUGCACUCUGCAACUCGAGUGCAUGAAGUCGGAAUCGCUAGUAAUCGCAGGUCAGCAUACUGCGGUGAAUA
rnacentral:rRNA from 1 species